GGCCAUGAAAGCCUUUGACAACAGAUUGGGAUUCUGUUGGCCAGGGUUCAAAUCCUUGUUUGGCCA
rnacentral:tRNA from 1 species